GAAAUGAAAGUUACCGUAGGUACCUCCUAGGUAGAAUGAAAGUUGGUGUUUUGGUUGGAGUUAAUAAACAACCUAAAUGAACAAUUUGUGAAUACAAUGAACAUGGAAAAUGAAAGAAGACGACUUAAAUGAUUACAUGCCAUCGAUUCUUAAUCCAAGAGUAUAUAAAAAGGAGAAUAAAGAUAUCAGUUUAACGCAGAAUUCUAUUGCCAGUCGAUGCUCUUUAUCCCUAAGGAGAAAAAACUGCAUAUCAAAAUGGAAACAGAAAGUGUGUGAGAUUCCUAUCAAAAAUAAGGAAAAUUCACUAAAUGUUCAAAAUCAUCCACCACAUCAGUCAAAUGUUACUAAAAAUGUAAUUGAUCUGGGCAUUGCUGCUGAGUAUUGUGCAAACAAUAGAAAAGAGCAAGAUGAAGAUGGCAGCAUUGGAUACUCUGCGAUUCAAGAUCUUAAUACAAUAGGAAAAUCUCAUUCUAGUCCUUUAAGUUUUGGUAAUGUUAUACCAUUUACCACUAUAAUCCACCAAAGAGACAAUAGAUCUGUAAGGUCUGUGUCAUCUAAUACAGAUUUAGUUGAAUGUGUGUCAGAUAAGAAAAGUGAAAAUACAGUCAUUUAUGAAGUACAAAAGCCUGUUGUGAAGGUGUCAUUUGGAGUACAAAGUUGUAAGAAUGUAGAAGUAAGUACUAGAAAUAGUAAUAUUAAAAGGGUUUUAGUAUCACAUAGAGAUAAAGAAACCAAUGUUGAUUGUGAAAUAGUUGAAAGCUCAGAACUAUCAAUAGGAAGUGAUUUGGAAGAAAAUAUGAAUGAAGCUUUCUCACAUAAUUCACAAAGAACAAGAAAAUUGGAAGUAUCUGUCAACUUUGAAAUAAAAAGGAAAAAAUUGUCAGAUGACACAGAUGACAACUCAAAAGUUCUUAUUUUAAAUACUGAUGCUAUUGAGAAGAUUUCCCAUGUCAUUGUCCAGCCACCAAAUUAUAAAUUAGUGAAAAGAAAAUUUGCAAGCAAAAAAAUUAGUAGCCGUGUCAAGAAGAAAAUAGUUGAGUCUCCAGACAAGAAUGGAAGAAGUGAUAGUUUGAAACAGAAGAGAAUUGAGAGUUAUUUUUUUAAACCAGAUAGUCAACUGUCAAGUGGUAUCAUAAGGAAAUUAGAUGUAGCUGGAGGUGCUAUUACAGCUCGUGAUGACGCGCAGGUCAUGAGCAAGACUCUGAGUAUCGCAGACGCCGCCAAUACCGGAGUCGGGAAGCUAAGGCCUAAGAGGGACAAUGAAUCGCCUAAAUCUAACAGGAUCAGGAGGGAAGGAGAGUCUCCUAAACGCAAUGACGUCAAAACUUCCAACUCCGACGCGCCGCGCGGCUCGUCACCGCGCAGCAGAAAUGACAGCAUAAGUUCAUAUUCCCCUAGGAAAACUGCAGAGUCCCUACAAUUUAAUCUAUCAUCGAAAGCCAAAAUCGCAAAAUCUACUGUUAGUUCUAAGACUAUUCCACAUCAUAAAAUAGUAGCAGGUACACAUUUCGCUGUAGAUGCAUUUUCGUAUGGUGAUAUUCCAAAUGUGAAGUAUUAUUUUCUCACCCAUUUCCAUUCUGAUCACUAUUCUGGCCUGAAGAAAGGAUUCAAUAAAUGGUUAUUCUGCUCUCAAGUUACUGCGGAUCUGUGCAUAUCUCGGCUAGGUGUGAAUUCGAAGUGCAUUCAUGUAAUAAACCUCAAUGAGACUAUCAAAGUGGAGGGGGUUGAUGUGACAGCGGUGGAUGCCAAUCAUUGUCCAGGUGCGAUAAUGCUGGUGUUCACACUGCCCAAUGGGAAGACGUUGUUGCACUGUGGCGAUUUCAGAGCCUGCCCCAUGAUGGAGUCCUACCCUAUCUUCUGGAAUAAGGAUAUACAUACUAUAUACCUUGAUACCACGUAUUGUAACCCCCGCUACGACUUUCCGACUCAGGAGCAAAGUUUGGAAAUGGCCCUGUAUUUGUUGCGGCAGAAGAAAUUCGCACUAGAAAAGGUCGGCAAGAAGUUCUCCUCCGUUCUGAUUGUGUGCGGAACUUAUACUAUUGGCAAGGAGAAGUUCUUCCUGGGCAUGGCUCGGCGCGUGGGUUGUACAGUGUGGGCGUUCCCGGAGAAGGACCGCGUGCUGCAGCUAGUGGAGGGGCGGAGCUUCAGCCACGCGCCGCCGCAGUCCUGCCAGCUGCACGUGCUGGCCAUGCGGGAUUUGACUUAUGAGAAAUUAAAAACUUACCUGGAGAGCCUCCAAGGCGCGUUCACGGAGGUGGUGGCCUUCAAACCCAGCGGCUGGGAGAACGAGAAGAACUCCACUGUUGAGAAAGACGUGGUCACCAUACACGGUAUUCCAUACAGCGAACAUUCGAGUUUCUCUGAGAUGAUUCGCUUCGUGAAGUUCCUCAAGCCGAAGCAGGUGGUGCCCACCGUCGACAUCUCUGGCGGGAUCAAAGCUGUCCAGGUGUUUUUACAGGCUUUUAAGUAACUUGCAAUAAGUACUUCCCGUGCCCGCUGCUGUACAAGGAGGACGUGCAGUCGCAGAGCAAGCUGACCGACUACUUCAGUAUACACAACAAACAGCAGGUGCCCGCCGUUACUUGAACACAGGUAUCUAUGUGUUGCUUACAACAAAAUUAUUCUAAGCUGCCAUUACGUGACUGUGAUGUAUUUUUGAUAAUAAUAGGUUUAAAGAUCAUAUUUUAUAAUAAAUUGUUAAAAGUCCCUGUUCUUUUGUAAUAACAUUUAUUUUCACAA